GCCGUGCGCGGUGGCGCGUGCCUGUAGUCCCAGCUAUUCAGGAGGCUGAGGUGGGAGGAUGGAUCGCUUGAGACCAGGAGUUCUGGGCUGUAGUGCGCUAUGCCGAUCGGGUGUCCGCACCAAGUUCGGCAUCAAUAUGGUGACCUCCCGGGAGCGGGGGACCACCAGGUUGCCUAAGGAGGGGUGAACCGGCCCAGGUCAGAAGCGGAACAGGUCAAAACUCCCGUGCUGAUCAGUAGUGGGAUCCCGCGUGUGAAUAGCCACUGCACUCCAGCCUCGGCAACAUAGCGAGACCCUGUCUCUU
ensembl:misc_RNA Metazoa_SRP Metazoan signal recognition particle RNA